AACAAGACACUGUAUUCUGUUUAUUAUGUCAAUGACAAAAAGCAUUCUGAUUAUUUUGAAAUAAUAAUUCUAAAUGUACUCUUAAGAAUCAGAAAUGUCAUCUUUCAUUGUUUGCGUUGGCUGUACAUUAACAAUGUUUCACUUCAAUAUUUAGAAAAAAGAAGAACAAAGCUCAGUCACCUACAGGUAAAGAAUGAUGCAUGAAUGACAACUCCUCCCCUACAAAUAAACGGCACAAUUCUCUUUUGCUUCAACAUCACCAGAAAAUAUGAAAACCCACCAUCUCUACCAGGAAAAAAGACAGAUGACUGUUGUGAUUAAGACUGGUUAUAAUAAUAAUAAUAAUAAUAAUAAUAAUAAUAAUAAUAAUAAUAAUAAUAAUAAUAAUAAUGAUAAUAAUUUUAAUGCACUUUAAGUUAACAGAUGCUUUGCUUUUUAAUAGUACAAUGCAACUUUAUAGCAGCACUCCAUUAUGUUCAAUAGUUAGAUGUUAAUUUGGGGAGGCAACAUAUUAUCACUGUCACAAAAAUUAUGUAAAUAACUGCUUGAUGCAAGUAAAGGAUGUGAACAAUGAAAUAAAUUCCUGUAGCUGAAACAUGUUUAAUAAUUAGAACCAUAAAGCCAACCUAGAAUCCAGCCACUAACACACACAAAUGUGUCAUGUGCUGUGAGUGCCAGCAUGAACUCAUAAGAAUUGAGAUAUAUUUUAUGUCCAUAUUUUUGCACAUUUUUACAUGUUUUUUUUUUUUUUUUUUUUUUUUAAAUAUGUACUGUGGUUGCCUGAGUAAAAAUGUCUGAUUCACUGCACAAAAGACAGCAUUGAAUGACACUGGUCUACAAGU